CAAAGACAAAGUGAUGGAGAUGAAGGUGAGGAGAGCAAAGACAAAGUGGUGGAGAUGAAGGUGAGGAGAGCAAAGACAGAGUGAUGGAGAUGAAGGUGAGGAGAGCAAAGACAAAGUGGUGGAGAUGAAGGUGAGGAGAGCAAAGACAAAGUGGUGGAGAUGAAGGUGAGGAGAGCAAAGACAAAGUGAUGGAGAUGAAGGUGAGGAGAGCAAAGACGAAGUGAUGGAGAUGAAGGUGAGGAGAGCAAAGACAGAGUGGUGGAGAUGAAGGUGAGGAGAGCAAAGACAAAGUGGUGGAGAUGAAGGUGAGGAGAGCAAAGACAGAGUGGUGGAGAUGAAGGUGAGGAGAGCAAAGACCAAGUGGUGGAGAUGAAGGUGAGGAGAGCAAAGACAAAGUGGUGGAGAUGAAGGUGAGGAGAGCAAAGACAAAGUGGUGGAGAUGAAGGUGAGGAGAGCAAAGACCAAGUGGUGGAGAUGAAGGUGAGGAGAGCAAAGACAGAGUGGUGGAGAUGAAGGUGAGGAGAGCAAAGACAAAGUGGUGGAGAUGAAGGUGAGGAGAGCAAAGACAAAGUGGUGGAGAUGAAGGUGAGGAGAGCAAAGACAAAGUGGUGGAGAUGAAGGUGAGGAGAGCAAAGACAAAGUGGUGGAGAUGAAGGUGAGGAGAGCAAAGACAAAGUGAUGGAGAUGAAGGUGAGGAGAGCAAAGACAGAGUGGUGGAGAUGAAGGUGAGGAGAGCAAAGACAGAGUGGUGGAGAUGAAGGUGAGGAGAGCAAAGACAGAGUGGUGGAGAUGAAGGUGAGGAGAGCAAAGACAGAGUGAUGGAGAUGAAGGUGAGGAGAGCAAAGACAGAGUGAUGGAGAUGAAGGUGAGGAGAGCAAAGACCAAGUGGUGGAGAUGAAGGUGAGGAGAGCAAAGACAAAGUGGUGGAGAUGAAGGUGAGGAGAGCAAAGACAAAGUGGUGGAGAUGAAGGUGAGGAGAGCAAAGACAGAGUGGUGGAGAUGAAGGUGAGGAGAGCAAAGACAGAGUGGUGGAGAUGAAGGUGAGGAGAGCAAAGACAAAUGGAAACAACUAGCCUAGCCGUGCUAGACAACCCACGGCAACAAAUUUAAUUCUCUGCCAGGGUCGACAACAAAAACGACAACAGUGGUUGAGCUCCAUUAGCACCGACUCUGAAUAAUCUUUCUGUUAACAUGUCUGUAAUAUACUUGAGCUUCACCCAUUGACUGUAUAAAUAAGGCUUCACUGAACUCCCUCAUCCUCUGAUUUCCGGCGCUCUAGGAGCCUAUUCGUUGCACUGAUUGGUUGUAUACCUACCCAACUGCUGCAGAGUGAUUUGAUAGACAACCUUUUAGCCCGCCUCCCUCCCUGUCGAGCGGUCCUAGACCCUUGCGUCUUCAGAGCAUGGGUCUAGCGCGGCUAGGCUAGGUGAACGGCGUCACUCACUGCAGAAAAGGCUCCUCUCAGAACAGGGAAAACAAACUGAUUUCAAAGAGCUUUUACCUCGAAAUAAGAGGAAAAAUCUGCCAAUAGAACAAGUUAAAAAUGUCUUGGGUGAGAUUUCUGGAAAUAAGAUGUGACAUUUAGAAUACUGAGAUCUUAAAAUUAGCUGGAAAACUUAUUUUAAGUUCUAUUUUACCAGGAUCAAGCUUGGGUGUCUUAAAAUAAGCCAGACAUGCUAAAAAACAAAACAAAGACAAGCAGUUUUUCACUCAAAAAUAGAUUUCUGUUUUCAUGUAGCCUCCUAAUUUAAGAUGUUUUAACCCUCCUGUUGUCUUCAUUUAUAGGAACCAAAAAAUAUUUUCCUUGUCUGAAAAAAAUCCCCCAAAAAACAAUCCUCAAAAAAAAUGCCCACAUUUGUGAAAAUUCACAAAACCUUCAGGAAGAAAAUUCCAAUAAUUCCUUAAAAGUUUUAUUUAAAAAUCCUCCAAAUGUGGCAAGAAUAUUAUUGUAAAUAUUUUCAACAAA